AUAUGUUAUUUAUAUCAAGAAAUUUUGGCGGUCAAAUGAUUUUCUCAUAGGAAGGGAAUAAACCAAUAGUUUACAAUAAAAUCGAAUCCCUUGAUUAUUACUCAACGUCAGCUUUUAUUCGUUUGGUAUUUCAUUAAUUUUUAAUUUAAAUAAAUUCUUGAAGUUUUAUGAGUAAAUUUUGUUUAACUAUCUUAAACUUAAUUUAAAAUUAAAUGUAUUAUUUAAAUUUUGUUGAAAUAUAAAAUAGUUUAAGUAUUUUUUUUGUGACACUAAAUAAUUCUGUUUUUCUAACACAAUUUUGCUUUAAAAAAUAAUAUGCCCAUGCCUGUCAUCUGUUAAUAGGGGUAAUCUAGAGGCGUCAAAAUCAUCAGUACAGUAUCCCUCAUGUUCGGACAACUUUUGAUCCAGUCAAUAUUUUGCGUUACUAUUUAUAUGUAAACAAGUUUGAAAAUUUUUUUAGAUAAGAUUUAUUUUUAUAGCUACAUGGUAAUUUAAUCAUCGAUGAUGCCCAAAAAACUGCCUGGAUUGACAGUCUUUCAUUAAUUAAAAGUCAAAACUAUCUAACACAUUAAGUUAAUUUGUCAACAAAAUGUAUUCAUUAAUAACACCAAAUUUGAAACAUUAGAGACGUAUAAAAACUGUUUGGGAGAAUUGCAAAGUACAAGUUUUAAUAGCCAAUUGAAAAACUACUACACCUAUAGUAUUUUAACUAAUAUUAUCUUCACUGAGCACGUGGAAAAGACUUAUUUUUUUCGAGUAUCUUCAGUUAAAGUAAAUGAAUACUUAUGUAUACUAAAGUAAAUGAGUACUUAAUUUAAAAUGCCAAAACCGAAUAUCAACAAAGUGCCAAUUAAAAUGCUCUAGUCUACUUUUGGUUUCAUUGGCCUCUAGCCCAAAAAUUGAAGAGAGUAUUUUUACAUUAUAUAAUGUUUGACUAUUUUUUAUCAAUAUAGCGUUUAUGAUAUUUUUUUAUAACAUCUUAUCAAUUUUACAAAAUGGUUUAUAUGUUCUACAAUUGGGUAAUAGAUUUUAAUUAAAAUGUAAUAGUACUCACUUACGUUGCAUUGAUUAACUUAACUUUCCAAAGGUGAUCGUCACGAAGACUAUGGAAAAAACAAAUGUUGGACCGCUAUUGGGUGGGAAAUGUCGUCAAUUUUCAGUGGAUAGCUAAUAGACACUUGUAGUUCUGAUCCUAGAAAUAAAAACUACUACUAUUUACUACAUGAGUCUUUGCUUUCAAUUGUUCAUUUGACCGUAGCUUACAAAUUGAGAUAUAUUGAAACGGACGUAUCCAAACAAAAUAGUAUUAAAAGAAAAAAUCCUCCCGUAUAUAGACUUUUGAAAAAGAAUCACGUUUUAAUUUAUUUAAUAUGGAUUUUAUUUACAGCGUUUUUCCAUUCAAUAAUUAGUCAAUAUCUAUUUUGGCUAUUCUUUCGAAUAUCUUACAAGUGGCUAUUUUUAUGAAAUUGUGGGUACUACAUUGAUGUUAAAAUAUUGUUCUUAUUCAAUAAUGAUACUGUUUGUAUUAAAAUUACUUGGCGAUAUGUUAGGCAUUUCAAAAUGAGUUGUGCUUAAUUUUUUUUUUUCUAAUGAAUUCAAAAAUUAUUAAAUAUUAUUAUUGUGUUAAUAUUAUUAAUAAUGUCAUUAUAAAAUAUACAU